rnacentral:misc_RNA from 1 species
AACGCAUCUUGCGCUCCUUGGUAUUCCGAGGAGCAUGCCUGUUUGAGUGUCAUUAAAUAUCUCAAAAAGCUCGUGCUUUUUUGGCAUGGGAUUUUUGGACAUUGGGAGUUGCCGGCUGCUGAUAAAGUGGUGGGCUCUUCUGAAAAGCAUUAGUUGAGGAGCUUUGCACUCUAUUGGUGUGAUAAACUAUCUAUGCCAGGAGAUGCUUCAUGAUCCUCUGCUAUCUAACUGUCUUUAUCAGACAAUAUGAUAAACUUGACCUCAAAUCAGGUAGGACUACCCGCUGAACUUAA